UACACACACACACUCACACAUACAUGCUCACAGUUGUAUUUGUGGUUUACGAGGACUCUCCAUAGGCGUAAUGGUUUUUAUACUGUACAAACUAUUUUCU